ACGGAAGGCAGCAGUAGGGAAUAUUGCACAAUGGGGGAAACCCUGAUGCAGCAACGCCACGUGUGGGAAGAAGCAUUUCGGUGUGUAAACCACUGUCGUGAGGGAAUAAUGCUUGGUCUCGGCCAAGUUGAAUGUACCUCGAAAGGAAGCACCGGCAAACUUCGUGCCAGCAGCCGCGGUAAUACGAGGGGUGCAAGCGUUGUUCGGAAUCACUGGGCGUAAAGGGAGCGCAGGCGGAGAUGCAAGCAGUCUGUACAAUACCGGGGCCCAACCCCGGACCUGCAGACUGGACUGUUUCUCUUGGAUAGUUCAGGGGCAAGCGGAAUUCCUGGUGUAGCGGCGGAAUGCGUAGAGAUAGGAAGAACACCGAUGGCGAAGGCAGCUUGCUGGGGACUUAUCGACGCUCAUGUUCGAAAGUGCGGGUAGCAAACAGGAUUAGAUACCCUGGUA
rnacentral:rRNA from 1 species